ACGGGAGGGGCAAGCGUUAUUCGAAAUAACUGGGCGUAAAGAGUUCGUAGACGGUAAUACAAGUUAUUUGUUAAUUUUUAAAGCCUAACUUUAAGCCAGCAAAUAAGACUAUUUUACUUGAGUUUUUUUCAGAAGAGCAGAAUUUUAUAUUAAGGGGUGAGACCUGUAGAUAUAUAAAGGAAUACCAUUAAAAGCGAAGGCGGCUCUUUGGUAAAAACUGACGUUGAGGAACGAAAGUAUAGGGAGCAAACAGG
rnacentral:rRNA from 1 species